rnacentral:lncRNA from 1 species
CUUCUUCUUCAUCUUCCUCAUCCUUGAUCAGUAAAAAAAGUCACCGCCUCUUUCUCUCUUUCCUCUUUCCUCUACUUUGAUUGAUCAAUCAUGCUUCUUCAUUUCUAGUUCCUCUGACUCAUUUCCUCAUUUCCCUCAUAGAUCUUUCCACAAAACCCAUAAUUGGGAAAAAGCUUACAUUUUUCUCAACGGUCUUAGUUAAAAGUUGUCACUUUGUUUGAAGAAACACAACUAAAGUUUCUCUUUUUACUUCGCAAUUUGGUUGUUUCCACUUCAAUUUCAAUCUUGCUUUCUGAUUCAGAUUCUGGGUUUUCUUCAGAAUUCCCAGAGAAGUUGAAAAAUUUCACCUUUUUUUGUCAUCAAAGUUGUGGUCUUUUUUAGAUGAACAUGGACAAGGAAACAGAGCAAACCCUAAAUUACUUACCUUUGGGUCAGAGCGAUCCCUUUGGCAAUGGCAAUGACGGUUCAAUCGGUGAUUUCCUUGGAAGAUACUGCAACCCUCAAGAGAUUUCACCGUUAACUCUACAGUCUUUCUCUCUGAAUUCUCAGAUCUCUGAGAAUUUUCCAAUCGCCGGUGGAAUAAGAUUCCCUCCGUAUCCAGGUCAAUUCGGAUCCGAUCGAGAAUUUGGGGUUCUUGGGUCACAACCAACGACGCAAGAGAGUAACAAGAGCUCGUUGUUGGAUCCAGAUUCAGUUUCUGAUCGAGUUCACGCCACGAAAUCUAACUCCAGGAAGAGGAAAUCGAUACCUACUGGUAAUGGCAAGGAGUCUCCAGCUUCAUCGUCUCUUACAGCUUCCAAUUCCAAGGUUUGUGAUUCACAAUCUCUCUUGCUUAAAUUCGAAAAUGUAGACUUUAAGAAACUGUAGCUUUCUUGAUUUAUGAACUUAUGUGUGUGUAAGAGAGUUGUGUUUUGUGGAGACUUUAUCUAAUUGACUUUUAAUGUGUUUCUUCAUGUUUUAGCAAUGUUUUGACUCUGACAAAAAAAAAACGGGGUUGGUUUUGGAAUUAUGAUCAGGUUUCAGGAGAGAAUGGUGGAUCUAAGGCUGGGAAGAGAAGCAAGCAGGAUGAAGCUGGGAGUAGUAAAAACGGAUUAGAGAAGUGCGAUAGUAAAGGCGAUAAUAAGGACGAUGCUAAGCCUCCUGAGGCGCCUAAAGAUUAUAUUCAUGUUAGAGCUAGAAGGGGGCAGGCAACAGAUAGCCACAGUCUUGCUGAAAGAGUACUGAACACCUUCCAAAAACCGAUCUAUUUUUGUCGAUUUUAGGCUAUUAUGAUGUUCACAAUGUUGAUGUUUUUGUUGUGUGCUUGGUUUCAGGCAAGAAGAGAAAAGAUCAGCGAGCGAAUGACGUUACUUCAGGAUUUGGUUCCUGGUUGCAACCGGAUUACAGGGAAAGCUGUCAUGCUUGAUGAAAUUAUAAAUUAUGUGCAGUCCUUGCAGAGACAAGUCGAGGUAAGAACUGGUAUUUCAUAAAUGUUCUUGAAAUUGGAGUUUGAAGAUAUCUUAAACCUGAAACUCGCGCUCUGUUUCUUCAGUUCUUGUCCAUGAAGCUGGCAACUGUAAAUCCAAGGAUGGAGUUUAAUGCUAAUUCUACUUUAUCCACAGAGGUAAAAUUCUGGUUUUGAGGCUACAAUAUCAUGUUGUUCUGGCCGAAUGUUCUGAAUGUUCUGUAUCUAUAAUAUAUGCAUGUGUAUGUGUAGAUGAUUCAACCGGGGGAGUCUUUAACGCAGUCUCUUUACGCAAUCGCUUGCUCAGAGCAAAGACUUCCUUCAGCAUACUAUUCCCUUGGCAAGAACAUGCCCAGAUUCUCAGACACACAAUUCCCCUCGAACGAUGGAUUUGUUCAAGCUGAGGUAAUUAGUAGCUAAUGUUCGAUUCUAGAAACUCGUUUGAGCGUAUCGAAAACUCAAUCGUGUCUGCCUUUUUGAUUCAUUUUAGACACCGGGGUUCUGGGAAAAUAAUGACCUGCAAAGCAUAGUUCAGAUGGGCUUUGGAGAUAUCCAGCAACAGAGCAGCAACAACAACUGUAAGAAAAAUUAGAACCAAAGUGGUCCUUUGAAACUUAGAACCAAUCUUUUGCUUAGUCUCUUAUCUUUAUGUUUCAGGUUCUGAGCCAACACUUCAGAUGAAGCUUGAACCAUAGCUCUGAUCAAAGGUGUCUUUAUUAUUAUCUCUCUGUACAUACAGAAAACCAAGUAGUGAUGAGUACGGAGUGAAAUUUAAAUGUUUACUAUCGUUUCUUCUUUGCUUGUGCAUCUGUUGAUUCCUUCUGAACCUAAAGCAAGAAAGCUUCAUAUUAAGUAUGUAAAAAAUUGACAAGAACCUUUCUGGACAUCUCUGUAUUAUUUACAAUUGUUAUGUAUUAUUAUUAUUAUUGCUCAGCUUUGUAAGGAACGGGAAUAAAACUUGUUCACGUCUUAUGUACACUUUUCACAUUUUUCACUGUAAAGGGAGAAAACAAGAAACUAGGCUUUUUAUGUUAUGCAAGUAUGAGAAGAGCUAAACACAUUACAUAAGUUUGUAACAACAUAAAGUAUACAUCAUUUAAUUUAAAAAGAUAACGUUAAAGUAGUGAUUUUAUAUCCUUAUUGGCCUUGCUUCACUUAGGGUUUCUGUAUCUUACCUUCAGCCGCAAUUAUAUAAAUCAGAGGAAAAGUAAAAUGGGAGGUUUUGAUUGCAACUUGAAACAAAUGACGACGAAGAUGAGGAUCUCUAAUCUUCUAGAUGAUUUGGUAAAGGAGAUUCUCAUUAGGGUUCCUUUGACAUCCAUGAGAGCUGCUAGAUUGACCUGCAAAAAGUGGAACGAUCUAUCCAAGUGCCCGAGCUUUAAGAAGAUGCACAUUGGUAAAGCCUUAGCCGCGGCAAAGGAAGGUGAGUCUCAGAUGAUCGUGCUGAUGGGUUCUACUCUUUACUUAAAGAGCAUCGUCAUCAAUGGAGAUCCAUUUACAGAGCAUAAAGGCAAACUUACUUACCUUGACGAACAAGUCAAUAUAUCUAAGUUCUUUUACUGCGAGGGUUUAUUGCUAUGCAUCUUGAAAGAUGAAUAUGAUUCUAGGAUUGUGGUUUGGGAUCCGUAUUUGGGGCAACCAAGGUGGGUCGAACUUAGAUAUCAGCCAUAUGGAUCCAACGGUUUCUCUU